AAGCCUACGUUUCCUCAUCACUUUUCCAUCCCGUCUGUAACAGAGCACUGGACGGAGAACUGAUAAGGGCUUGUGGGUGA